GAGAAAAAAACUGGUCUGGAUAGAUGUACUAAUAAAAAAAAUAAGGCAAAAGGAUCAGUCUGGUAGUUACAGUGACUACGCUGAGUUCUAUCCGUCUUACUCUCCUGAGAAUGCUAAGCUAUUCAAAAUGUUGGUUCACUUUGUUAGUGGUGGCGGGGUGCUUUAGAACAAUAGUACAUGCCCAAGUGAUCGCGCUAAGUUCUUGUCCAAAUGUCAGUGUCGUCUCCGACUUUGAAGUCGAUCAAUAUUUGGGGAAAUGGUACGGGAACCGCAACUACUUUGCAAUAUUCCAAUCGGGGCUGGAUUGUGUUACAGCUGAAUACACACUGAAUGGAACCGAAAUCGUUGUGAAAAACGAAGGAAUACAACAAGUUACUAGAAGGAGAAGAACUGCGAACGGAAAAGCUCGUCUGAUUGAACCCGGCAAACUCAGCGUUUCAUUUACCGGCAGACUUUCUGAAACGGACAUUCCAAAUUAUUUUGUACUGGCCACCGACUAUACAACCUACGCUGUUGUGUGGAAUUGUUUUGAUCUCGGACCGAUCAGCUCACGCAUAUUGUGGGUACUGACUCGAGAACAACACCCAUCAAUAUCGACAAUCGAUAAAGCGUACGCUGCACUUAAGCGGAAUGGCAUCGAUGGCAGUAGUUUGAGGUUAACGAAUCAAGAUAAUUGCACAAGACGUUAGCUGGGAGCAAGGAAGCUAUCCAUCUUAGUAGGACAAAGCUGAGCAAAUUCUUUGGGUAACUUAAUUACAAAAACCAAAAAAACUCUGCGGGACACGCUGAUAAAUGAUAACAAAGGAACACGAACCUACAGCGACCUAAAGAGCCCCCCAACUUGAUAAUUCCAUAUUUAAAAGUUUCGGGAGGAACACAAUGCUCUAUUAUUAUACAGCGAAAAAUAAACAACACAUAAAAAUUGUUUACUGCAUAAAGAGCAAUUUACUCCUUCAACUACAAUGUUUUAAAUUGUAGAACGCUUGCGAGGAAGUACCCGCUUUGCAACUAGAGUCUCGAAGGAUGCAUGGACUUACAAACUAUGUCACUUAAUUAACUUUGUUUGCAGCUUGUUAGGCUAGGAAACGAUGACGGGGUUGUUGGGGUCAAAUGUGGGGGUACGCGCAAAGACAGAAAUUAAUGUGCACGCUGAGUUUGACACAGACCACCUAUGGUUGCUUAACGGUUGUUCGACUUUGAAUUGAAUUUUCUGUUUUCUUUUAAUCCGGUCUACGAAAACCUGAAUACCUACUGUAUUAGUUUUUUGUUGUUUUUACGAUGUUACCAAAAUCAAAGUAUUGUAGAAUGUAGACGUACAUAAGAAAAUGAUUUUCAAGGGCCAGUCUAUUGGACUCACGGGACUAGUAGAGAAGCCCAGUUUCUAUCUCUUUCUCAAUCUCAGCAAUGUUUAUCUGUUCGAAAUGGUGGUUUUGUUUCUUGACGGCGUUACUAGAAUGUCAUCGGACAGUGGUACAUGCCCAAGUGUUUGCAUUAGGCUCCUGCCCGAACCUCAACGUCGUUUCAGAAUUUAAAAUGGAUCAGGUAUUAUUUCAUUGACAAGAAAUGUUCUCCACCAAGCUCCCCACAAGUACAAUCGCAGAUCGUCUACCUUAUAACCCUUGUCACUUCCCUUUAAAUUUUCAAUUCAAACCUUCAUUCUUUGGCACAGUAAUUAAAAAAAUUUAGUCAUUUCUUUUCUGAACGCCCCAAAUUUCCAAGUACUUAGGUAAAUGGUACAGCAACCGCAGCUAUUUUUCUUUAUUCAUGUCUGGUCUGGAAUGUGUGACCGCCGAAUAUGUGAGGAACGGGCCAAAAGUAACCGUGAAAAAUAUCGGAAUAAAAAGAAUCACUAGAAUGAGAUCAACUACAACUGGGACAGUUCGUCAUGUCGAACCUCCGAACGGAAAGCUUAACGUGGUAUUUUCCGGUGAUCCUGCCCAGGGAAGCGCUAAUUAUUGGAUACUUGGCACCGACUACACUUCUUACUCUGUUGUGUGGAGCUGCAUGCAUUUCGGAAUUGAACCAAUCAAUACAAGAAUUGCGUGGGUGUUGACACGCGAACAACAUCCAACGAACGCCACCAUCGAGGCUGCGUUAGAUGUGCUCAAGAAAAAUGGAAUCGAUCAGAGCAAACUGAGGUUGACGAAUCAACACAAUUGCUGACAGCGGAGCUACAAGACGCAAUUGGGAAACUCUUCAUGGGAUUAAGGAUAUCGGAAAAUUGGGAAUCAGUCAAAAAUUAGAGCUUGGGCGAUAAAGGCUCAUCGGUUUCGUGACCAAUAAAAAAUUGUGCAACUUUAAGUUUUCUGUUCACGGUUUCUUGUUUAGACGUAGAGUACGUAUAAAAGUGAAAAUGAUUUAAAUGUGAAAUACGAUAUUAUCGCAUUCUUCGUCCAUUUUUAGAAAAAAGUGUAUCAUGCAUUACACAUUAAUUUUUGUAACCAUAUCUGUCUUGUGACUGACGGACUGUACCAUUGUUAUGGAAGAUGUUACUGAUUAACGGUAGUUUGACACCAUUUUCCGCUCCUUGCCGCCCUGGAAACAUAACGGUAAAAUGACCAUCACUCGGGGACCAGUCGCACGUGAACACUGACGAAACCCAGUUCUAUGUUAUUCAUUAAACAAUGCCGUCAAACUGUUUCAAACUUUUGUUUAAUUUAUUAUUUGUUUUUGCAUUCUUUAAUAAAAUGAUACACACCCAAGUGAUUAAGUUGGGUUCUUGCCCAUUCCCAACUAUCAUGUCAGGCUUCGAUCUAGAUAAAUUUUCCGGAUUAUGGUAUAACAACCGAAACUACUAUUCUGUUGCCCAAGCUGGCAUGGAUUGUGUAACGACUGAAUACAACAAUACAGGAAAUGUACUGACCAUAAAAAUUCAAGGGAAAAAAUCCGGUUCUACAAAAACUCUCAUCGGAAAAGGUCUCAAAAUAUCGGACGGUACACUCACAGUGUCAUUUUUCGAAAAUGCUUGGAUGGCUGGUGCUGAAAAUUAUUUGGUUUUGAACACUGACUACACUUCUUACGCUGUUAUCUAUAGCUGUUGGCCCUUCGCAUUCGGCACUACAAGUUUAGCAUGGCUGCUAACUCGCGAUCAAAUCCCAUCAAACAACAUAAUCGAUACAGCAUUAGCUGUAUUUACAGCGAACAAUAUCGACCAGACAAAACUGAAAAUAGUUAAACAAGAAAACUGCUGAUGGCAGCAAAAUUCUGCAAAACAAACCUAGUGAACUUUACUCGACAAAUUAAGGAGAUCAGAAAAAAAAUGUCGCUUUCUGUUUUCCUUCUUUUGACUCAUCAGCUUUUUUAAAAAAACAUUUCGCAAGUUUAAGGUCUGUUUUUCUGUAGCCGAUUUUUCUUUUAAAAUAAAAAAUUUUCGCACAAUCUUUGUCCGAUUACGAAUAAAGCGCUCUCGGCAUUGAAAAUAGAAAUAUUACUUUGGA